UUCACACGUGUGGUUAAAGUAUCGUCAGCUGUGUCUGUAGUGAAAAUGUGGAGUGCUUAGAUUCGUCAUUUACAACAACUACAACAAUAAAGGUAAAUAAUUGUACACUGAUAUUUCAUUAUCGUAAACUAUGAUUGAUUGAUUAAUUGUUAGAUUGACACAAAAGUUGAGAAACUAAGUUUAUAGGUUAUGUCAUACUAUUGAUAAAUGUUGAUAGUGUUAAGUAAAUUAUUAGUUUAAAAUUAAUUAAUUAAUUAAUUAUUAUUUUACAAAUUUUAAAUAGUUUCAAAUUUAUUUAGCAAAAAUUUGAACCUUCGAUCUGAAUAAAUGUUUUGAUUUUCGAAUUGAUUCUUUAAAAUUACAAAUAUUAAGAAAAAGUGGCAGAUAUAAGAAAACUUUAUUUAAACUGUGUUGAGCAAGAAUUUUAACAUCUAAUUUAAGUAAAUGUUUUAAUUUUCAACUUCAUCAUUUACAAUUACAAAUUUUAUUUAAUUUCAAAUUUAUUUAGCAAAAAUUUGAACCUUCGAUCUGAAUAAGUGUUUUGAUUUUCAAAUACCAACGCGGCUGGUGGAGUGGCGAUCUAUCGUAAAUUAUCAUCGACAUCUACGGCGGAAGUGUUCCAAGUUGCGAUUACAGACGUAACUCGUGUCAUUAAAACCAAGGGUGACAUGUGCAUGACUGAAGUUACUUGCUUCGCCGCUAAUACUAGCUUCAAGUUUAUACUCGGUGCUGUAUAUAUUCAUCCAGGAGCUAGUAUGCAGGAUAUUGGAAUGUUACUAUGGCAAGGACUCGGUCCGUACAUUCACAACAGCCAGUACGUGCCACCGUUCGUGCAAGUUGAUUCUAGUAUACCGAUUCUUCUGUGUGGUGAUUUUAACAAAAACGUAAAGCCUGACAACUCGUUUCUUAAUUUCAUGAAAAAUACGUAUAAUCUUGAUUGCGUAUCAAACGUUUCUAAGUCAACUACGUUAAAAGGAACAACUAUCGACUUGACUUUCGCAAGACACAUUACAGCAGAAACACUUCCUUUCAUUUCAUAUUUCUCCUAUCAUCGUCCUAUCCUCAACAAAAUCACUCAAAUAGGAAUUAGUUAAGUUUACAUGUACAAUGUUUUAGUAAACAAAAUAUAUUUCUAUAGUUAAAAUUUGUGCAAUUCUUAUUUUCAUUCAAUUCCUUGUUCCUAUUGUGCAAUUUAAUUAUAUUCAUAUCAAUAAAUAUUCUACCGUUGUCACGUAAAAUCUUCGCCCGUAAAACCGACUUUACAGGUAACCAUUGUUUUUUUUAAUGAACCUAUAGUAAUAGAAUUGCUUUGAGAGAUUUCUUUUAAACCCUUUGAGAUUGCUUGCUAUUGAAUCAGAUGAAUGAGGAAUACUACAUAUUGAUUUGUAAACUGGGGGUUUAUUCUCUCAGAUGGGUUGUGAAAAUGUAUCAAAAUUAAUAAGUGAUUUCCAAGUUUUGACAUUUGCUGAAAUACUAUUUAAUGUGUGUAACUUGUACCUGAUAGGGCAGUAGGAGGAGAACUGACUGUAGUUAAAACACCAAUUUAUUGAAUUCAAUAGCAAGUUCAGGGAAUAUAAGAAACUGAGUUUAAUACAAUAGUGAUGCGGUCUGGAGGUUAAAAUGGCGAAACUGUUAGGAGACUUCACCAUUGAUGAGCCAUUCCGUCCCUCUUUCAAUUUUUAUUCAUUGCAGAAUAAGAGCUGUAGAAAUAGUAAUCAUAUAUAAAUUGGAAGAAUAGUAGCGCUAAAAAGGUUUAUAAUUUUUAUCGAUAUUUGGCGCUAGGUGGAUGAUGUAUUAAAUAGUAUCUUUCAUAAAAAUCUCGAAAUCAUAAGGCGAAAGAUUUUUUUUUUUAAUUUAAACCUUUCGCGCCUUACGAUUUCGUAAAAAAAAAAAAUGCUCAAUUGGCCUCCGAUUCUUGCAAAAGUCCAAUCCCAUCAGCGAGUGCAAGUAACCAAACGGGGCUCUGGCACAUUUGUAAGUGCAAAGUCGAACUGCUUUUCACAUGUGUAGACAUGUGGUGCACUUACAGUAAAAGCAGUCGCUAACUACCCACCAUGAUUAUCAUGGCCUGUACCAUGUGUACUUGGAAUAAACAAAAAAAAAAACCGAUUUCGUGCUUUAAAAAAAAAAUCCAGGUGAAUAUAUAACCUGAGUAUCUAUCAUAGUUAUCAUGACUCUUCAUUGGAUGGUUCAGCAUCACAAAAUACUUGUCUAAUGCCUCUUUUCUCUACUCCUAUUUGUGUUCAUCCCUUCUCUUACAACUUCAAAUAUCCUCACGUAUCAUGUUUGUCAUGUGUGAAUGGAAGUAAUCAAAACGAAGUGCAACACGAGUACUGUGGCCUUUCUGCCAUAUAUUUUAUAUGUUCUACUCAAUUCCCUUUUUUAUUUUCUUGGUUCAGCCUGAAAGUCUGAAAGCGUUUAUAUAUAUUAUAUAUAUUGUCGCGGAGAUAAAUAAAGCAAGGGCAAAUUUGGGAAUCAUAAAUUUAUUAUAAAGGUAGGUAUUUACCUUCUAGUUCUCCAAUAUAAUUAUCUAAAAGAGGUAUUUAUAGGGAGAGAGAGGGUCAGAUAAUAAUAAUACAACUUAUCCCAAGGUAAAUAUAAUAAUAUUGAGCGUCGUCAGCUACCGUCCUGUUUUCCUUAUUUGCAGAUAAGUUACCGAGAACCCCUCACACCUGUGGUUAUCCCCGGAGUCCAGGGAUGAUUGACAGGUGUCCCAUCUAGAUAGAGCUUCUUGACAAUAUUUUACCUCCUAACCUGGUAUAUAUAUGAAGAAGUAGAUGAUAAUUGGGAUGAGGUAUUCAGCGUCCAUUUGUUUUUGAAAGUCUGCACCACAUGUCUUCAGAUGUAAGGGAGAAAGCAAAUUUUAUCUAAAUAUUCUUAAAAAUAAUUACAAAAGUCUAAUCACAAUAUACCAAUUGCAAUAGGUUUAUUAAGUUAAAAUGGCAAGUGUUAGACCAAUUAGGCCACCAUUAGGCCAAUUGUUUCGCAAAUACCUACAAUUUAUAUAAAAGAGUCUAGAAUUUGUUUCUUUUAUGAUGUAUCUUUAUUUCUUAGUCUACUCCAUAUCAAUAGACCAUCUGAAGGACAUUAAGUCAAAGUUCGAUCGAUGCUAUAGACUUUAUUCCAGCUCUGUCUCACAAUGAUGAUUUUAUAUUUGAAGAUGGAAUCUACCAACAGAUUUGUGGUUCCCCCAAAGGGAGCCCAUUAUCAAUAACAGCUGCAUAGAUAGUCAAGACACUUAGCCCUGGAAUCUUUAUUCAUUUUAUAGAUGGUCAUGUUGAAAUUAUUAUUAUUAUUUUUUUUAUCCCAAGUACACGUGGUACAGGCCAUGAUAAUCAUGGUGGGUAGAAGUAGGCGACUGCUUUUACUGUAAGUGCACCACAUGUCUAUACACGUGGAAAGCAGUUCGACUUUGCACUUACAAAUGUGCCAGAACCCCGUUUGGUUACUUGCACUCGCUGGUGGGGUUAGACUUUUGCAAGAAUCAGGGGCCAUUGGGGCAUUUUUUAAAAUUUAUAUAUAUGGAUCAAUAGCUUUGAAGAAAUGAUACUGUGGUACUUCAAUGAUUUUUUAAAAAUUAAACAUAGAUAAAGAUAAUCAAAUUUCAAACACUUUGAACAGUUACAGCCCCCAGAUUAUAUUCACAACGCAGACAUAAAUCAAAGCAGAACUAUCUUAUUUAGAUAAUACUCAUUCUUAUAGAACCGAACAAAGAUUUCAUUCUACAGUUUAUUACAAAAAGAGGAAUAGAACUAUCUUAGUUUUAAUUCAUCGAGUCCAAUAUAUAAGUCAUAAAAUAUUCAAGAUGAUAACUAAAAGAAUCACUACGCAUUACUUUCUACCUGUUUUGAAAAAAAAAAAAUAGAAAAGCUCAAUGUCUUUCGAAACCUGUAAAAGGCCGGAUUCUCGCUAGAAUUCAUACUGAAGCAAACCUACAACGAAUUCCUCCCCAAAAAAUCAGACAGUAUAUUGAACCAAUUGUUACCUGGAAUAUUUUACAACCAAUUAAAAACGGGCUUAUGAUUUAAAGUAAUUCGGCAUAAGAUGUUUAUUCGGCAAGUCUCAGUCCAUACGUCAAAUCAAAAUAAACCCAAUUACCAAAUCAAAUAUCAGAAUAGAAGCUGGAAAUCAGCACAAUGCCAUAUAUCCAGUAUUCUGACAACAGCCUCAUAUAUAAGACAAACCAGCCAAUGAGUCGCCACCAGAAUCAAAGAACACAUCCGUAACAUUACAAAUCACGACAAAAUAUCAUUAGCGUAUCAGCAUGAAGAAUCCACAGGAUUCAACCUACAGGAUGUAAAAUAUUAAAUUUCCAAAACCUUUUUAAAAUAUAAUAGACUCAUUCUGUAAUCAUUAAUCUCAAACAGCAAUAACAGUACAUAUAAAAACCGAAGAAUAAAAAUACCACAGCAACAUCAACACGCAUAGAAACCCAUAGUAUGUAUAUUCACCCAAGGGAGCUAUGAUCUGUUAUCCGUUCAUCCAAGAAUUUUUAAUUAAUUAUUUUUAUAUUUUGGCCACUGGCAGGGUUCACCACUAAUGAGCCAGGCCCUCCCAUUAAUUUUUUGAUUGCAGUAAGGGCAGUAAUACACUGCGUGACAUUGAAAAUGGAACACCAAGAAAUAGUGGCCAGAAAGUGAUGAAACUCGGCAGACAGAGAGAGACAGGGACGAACAAUAAGUGAUCUUUAUUUCAAAAUGAUAGUCAUAAUACAGAGCGAGAACGGCGUCGGCUUAGUAGCAAGUAGGACCACCGCGGACGGCGAUGCACGCAGCAACACGUCUAGGUAGAGAGUCAAUCAGAGUACGGAUGGCGUCCUGAGGGAUGGCUCUCCAUUCCCUCUCAACCAUUUGCCACAGUUCGUCUUCUGAACGCGGCUGUGGCAAGGCAUGCAAACGGCGUCCAAUGAUGUCCCAGACGUGCUCGAUUGGUGAGAGAUCAGGAGAGUACGGUGGCCAGGGAAGCAUCUGUACAUCUUGCAGAGCUUGUUGGCUAAUGCGAGCAGCGUGCGGUCGGGCGUUAUCCUGCUGAUAAAGGGCAUUGGGUACCCCCUGAAGGUAGGGGAGUGUCACCGGUCGCAGCACAUCAUCAACGUAUCGUUGGGCCGUCAUAGUGCCCUGAAUACGAAGUAAAGGUGACCUGGAAUCAUACGCGAUUGCGCCCCAAACCAUGAUUCCACGUUGUCGCACGGUGGGGCGUUCCACAAUUGCUGCCGGAUUGGACCUUUCUCCACGUCGACGCCACACGCGUACACGGCGACUAUCACUGGACAAGCAGAAACGCGACUCAUCUGAGAACACGACCCUGUGCCAUUCCGUCAUCCACGUCGAUCUAGCCCGGCACCAUUCCAAACGUUGGCGCCUAUUCGGUGGGGUCAAUGGCAGUCUUCUUAGCGGACGGCAUGAGUGCAAGCCAUUAGCAACCAAUCGACGGGAAAUGGUUCUGGUCGAGAUGGAAUGAUCUAGGGUGUCUUGCACAUGUUGCAGGAUGGCGGUACAAGUGGCUUGUGGGGCCGCCACUGCUUGUCGAAGGAUACGUGCUGACGUCACUCUGGUUGCACCGACAUUCCUAUAAAUUGCCACAUUUCCUUGUUCCAACCAUCUUCUCCACAGUCGGUGCACCGUGGACGCACCAAGGUGUGUAUCAGCUGCGAUUUGACGUAUGGACCAACCUGCCCUUUUCAAGUCCGAUCACCAUGCCCCUCGUAAAAGCGUCUGUCUGCUUGAACUGCCUCCGUUUACGAUGACCUGGCAUUCUCUUUUAUUACACGUGUCUUUUGACACAAGAACAAAAUUUCUACAAUGAUUUUCCUUGAAGAAAUAACGACACGAAUACUGUCCUUUCUGCAAGUUCCUUCCCUUAUAUCUUACUCCAUGUGCGCACGAGAGCUGCACAUUUUACAUCAUUUGCAUAACUCGGUUAGGCGCGUCUACCCUGAAAUUUGCAUAAUUUUCUGGCCACUAUUUCUUGGUGUUCCAUUUUCAAUGUCACGCAGUGUAAUUGUUUAAUUUUUAAAAGAAUCAUACGUGUCUAUAAUAGUUUCGAAUUUUCAUGACAGAUGGCGCGCUAAUGCAUUAUAUUAUAUAUGUAUAUCAUUAUAUAUCAUAUAAUUAUCAUUUGGUAUAUAAGUAAGUCAGUUUUUAUGAUAAAUAUUUGAAGUAUGUAAAUUCUUCAAAACCUCUCUAUAUACAAAUUGUAGGUAUUUGCGAAACAAUUGGCCUGGUGAUGGAUUUAACGCUUGUUGUUAUUUUUAUCUUAAUAAAGGAACUUAAAGCAAUUUUAUGCUUGCAUCUGCAAGGUGCCAGAGCCCUAUUUGGUUACUAGCACUUACUGGUAGGUUGGACAUUUGCAAGAAUCUUAUUUUAAGACUAUGGUGAAAUGACCUUUCUCACAUUUAGAAACAUUUUUAUCUGAACUAUAAUCCAAAUUUUACCGUAUCACUUUAAAAUAAUCCAUACCCUAAAUCCAAUUACUACAUAACAAACUGACUUGGUGAUAAUAAGUGUUCCCUGGGCUCCAGCACUAUCAUCAGCGACUUUGAACCCAGUGACGAGAACCCGGAACUCCGCCAAAAAGCCCAAGACAUUCUUCAAUGCCAGAAUCUCCUAAAGACAAUACAGGUUCUCACUCCUUUCCUUUAUCUUGACCUUUAUUUUCAUCUCUCAUCCUGUCUGACAUCGUGUCCAGGCCAUCAAGUGCCUCGAUGUUCCCCCAAGAAAAUGGUAAGGAAGUUAAAUUUAAAUUCUCAAGAAAAGAAAAGAAAUCAUUUUUAUAUUAAAAAGUGUUUUCGUACUUAGCCAGGUCAAAUAAUUCUUGACGCACUAGGCAGCUUGAGGAGUGUUCCCAGACUUAAUGACAAUCACAAAAGUUACUAGUACGGGUUAUCACACAAAAAUGCAAUAUACUAGGGCCUAAAGUAAUAGUAACUAACACACAGAAAAGCGUACACUCAAGAGUACAACAACAGCAAAAAAGCAAAAAAUAAACCUCACGAUUUGCUAUAUAAAAACAAAACAGUAUUUAUCUUUUAUUGUAGCAUUGGUAGGGAUCGGACUGGGGCCACACAGGUAUGCGAGGAGAUCACCAGACACGGAUAAAUCACAAAUUUUUAAACACACUCGCCCCUCGCAUUCCCUUAGCACCCUCUUAUAUACAAACAUGGCCACAUUCGUCCAAUGAGAAGGCGUGAAACAUUGAUUGGUUCAUUAACAUACGAAAGCAACCUUCUUCCCGCUAAAAACUGAUAAGAUAUAACAGCAAAUGUUUGUCAAUAUAAUUUGACAACAAAAGCAGACAUAUUUUUACCCCAGAGAAAAACAAGAUGACGUUUUCUUUAUUUUAUAUAUUCUCUAACCUUCUUUAUUUUUCCAUGUAAUAUAUUAAUUGCAAUAACUGGAACCUAUUGUCAUUUGUUACUAAUAAGUCGAUAGUGUUCGCCAUUAGAUGAAAUACCAAUAUGUUCUAAGAGAGUCCACACAAGCAGCCAGAGAUGUGCAGUUGUCGAGGUUGACAGUCAGCAACCCCAACAGUCCGGCAGUAGACGAGGACAACUUUGAGAAAGAAUCCGAGAUCCUGCAGGCCGACCUGCACCGCCAGCACAGAGCUGGACCAGGAUUUGAAGAUGAAGGAGAAGUUUGUCUCCCUGCAGGAGUAUGUGACCACGGUCGUUGAGUACCAGGUUUGUUGUUUGUGACAAUGUCACCUACUGUAGUACAUGUCAUCACUCUAACCUUUGGUCCAUCUUUAAAAAAUAAAUUUCCCCUACCUCACUCAGGUGUGAAAAGACACCUCUCCCAGUAGGACCUCAGGAAAACUGAAGUCCACCCACCUUCUGAUGAGGACCAUAAACCAUGGCAUACAGGCUGGUCUUCUUCUUUCUUAUCUCCAUAAUGAGUGAAGUAGAAUGCGUGUGCCUUCGUCAUUAAGACUGGGAGCACUACUCAGUGGCAGGCUGACUUUGCUCCAAAAUAAAUGGCCGCCUGGAUACAGGCUGUUUAUUUUCAUGAACGUUAUAUUUGUCUAAAUAUGAGCAGAGUAAAUGGUUUAUAUAUUUGUGUUUUUUUUUUUUUUUUUUUUUUGUAAAUGGGAGAGGUAUCCUGAUAAAGUAACUAUAGAAAAUUUUUAAAUUGUAAAAUAUUUUGUAAUAGUGUUUUACUGAUGUGUUGUUACCGAAACAUCACUUGUGGUUCUCCAUGUUUUAAUUUGGUGUGUGUUACAUUUUUGUUUCAGGCACAUAUAAUCUUUGAAUGAUUUUCGCCCAUUUUUGUAUAUUACUCUGGUCUAAACCAGACAAUUUUGAAAUGGAAUGGAAUAAAUCUAAAAUAAAGUAAUAUGACCUAACGAAUAAAUUACACCAGAUGUUUCAGUAACAGUAUUGUUAACCUCUUCAAACAAAAGUACUAAGAAUGUUUACUAAAAAAUGAACUCUGAAAAGAUGCAGGACUUUGGUCUGCUGAUGAUAAUUACACAGUUACUGAAAUGCCGUGAAUAAUUUAUUCAGUUAGAUAUGAGGGCUUAUUACCUCAUGUUUCCGAUCUAUAAUCCAAAUUGUACCUUAUCACUUUGAAAUGAUCUCUAUAUUCACUCCAUCCAUUUACUACAUAACAAACUGACCAGGUAACAACAAUUGUUCACAGUGUUCCAGCACUUCCAUCAGCGACCUCGAAGAUUCUAAAACCCCAGAUGAUAAUCCGAACUCCGCGAAAAAGCCCAAAACAUUGUUUAAUGCCAGAAUAUCCUAAAGAAAAUACAGGUAUUUGUUUCCUCUCUAUCUUGACCUCUAGAUUCAUCUCUCAUCCUGUCUGAUAUCGUGCCCAGGUCAAAAAGUCCCUGAAGAAUUAGGAAUUCUCCAUUUUUUCCCCAAAGCCUAAGAAGACUGUAAGUAAGAUCAAAUUUGAAUUGAUAUACCUUAUAUUUUUCAUUGAACAUUCAAUAAAAAGCAGAAGGGAGGGUAUUGAAGGUUGUGGGCUAUUGGAGUACAAUGUGCGAUUGUGUCCACAGAUCCACAAGGAGGAGCUCUUU